GGACGCUUAGCUCAGCGGUAGAGCGCUACAUUCACAUUGUAGAUGUCACAGGUUCGAUCCCUGUAGUGUCCACCA
rnacentral:tRNA from 1 species